rnacentral:rRNA from 1 species
GAUGAACGCUAGCGGCAGGCUUAAUACAUGCAAGUCGAGGGGCAGCAGGACUGUAGCAAUACAGUUGCUGGCGACCGGCAAACGGGUGCGGAACACGUACGCAACCUACCCAAAACUGGGGGAUAGCCCGGGGAAACCCGGAUUAAUACCUCGUAACCUUUUUAAGUGGCAUCACUUGAUAAGUAUAGCUCCGGCGGUUUUGGAUGGGCGUGCGCCUGAUUAGGUAGUUGGUGCGGGUAACGGCCCACCAAGCCUGCGAUCAGUAACUGGUGUGAGAGCAAGACCAGUCACACGUGCAAUGAGACACGGGCCCGAAUCCUACGGGAGGCAGCAGUAAGGAAUAUUGGUCAAGGGACGCAAGUCUGAACCAGCCAUGCCGCGUGAAGGAUGAAGGUCCUCUGGAUUGUAAACUUCUUUUAUGGGGGACGAAACCCGGAUAUUCUUAUCCGAUUGACGGUACCUCAGGAAUAAGCACCGGCUAACUCCGUG